AAUAAUUAAUUUAUUUUCGGAUUCUAAAAGUAAAUAAGUUUUUGCCUGUUGACACACUAACAAUGUUAACAACAGUGAAAAUAUGCCAGACGUUUUAAAUGUAAAUUUUACUCAGUAAAUUGUGGAGUGUACUGUAAUGAUAAGUUUUCAUCUGACAUAUAAUUGACUUUAAAUUAUUUAUUGUGGCUUUAAGCUCAAAAAGAGUUACUAAUUACUUCCUUUUUUAAUUGUAAAGGAUCAAGAAAGCCGUGGCGUUACAAGAAAGCACUUGUCCCGAAAGUCCUUCUCCAAACUGACUCUGUUGAGAAAACGGCACCAAACUAACUCUGUUGAGAAAACGGCACCAAACUAACUCUGUUGAGAAAACGGCACCAAACUGACUCUGUUGAGAAAACGGCACCAAACUGACUCUGUUGAGAAAACGGCACCAAACUGACUCUGUUGAGAAAACGGCACCAAACUGACUCUGUUGAGAAAACGGCACCAAACUAACUCUGUUGAGAAAACGGCACCAAACUGACUCUGUUGAGAAAACGGCACCAAACUGACUCUGUUGAGAAAACGGCACCAAACUGACUCUGUUGAGAAAACGGCACCAAACUGACUCUGUUGAGAAUACGGCACCAAACUGACUCUGUUGAGAAAACGGCACCAAACUAACUCUGUUGAGAAAACGGCACCAAACUGACUCUGUUGAGAAAACGGCACCAAACUGACUCUGUUGAGAAAACGGCACCAAACUGACUCUGUUGAGAAAACGGCACCAAACUGACUCUGUUGAGAAAACAGAACAAUUUGAGAUAAUAUUGUUGUAAAACCAUAACCAUUUGAGAUCAGACACUGUUGUGAAUACAAAACACCCUUUGAAGACAGACAUUUGUGAAAACUGAACCCCCUGAAAACGGAACCCUUUAAAAACACUGUUGUGACAAGAUAAUCCUUUGAACAGACCUUUUUCCUUAUUUAUCCUGUUAGUAUUUUCUUGUGAUUUGUUUCAGUUCUGGUGAUCUAAAGAAGCAGACUAUCUGAAGCUGAAGACCAUCUCCAUCUGGACCUUAUCUGCAUUUGAAGACUGUCAAACAUCCACAUCAUUACAUUUAGUUAAUUUCCUUGCCAUUUUAUUGCUUAUUCAUAAUUUUAAUCCAACUUUCAUUUAUUAAAGACUGCAUAUUGCUUGUG